ACAGACAGGGUCAAGAAGAUGACGUGGCAUAUUGGGAGGCUGGCGUCGAUUGUUUUGUGGUCAGGAAGGCAGGGUCCAGAAGGUCGCGCUUCUCCGGUGCGAGAAGAUUUCGCCCGCCGGCGGCCGAGGAAACGGCUUUCUUACUGCUGAAGUUCAAUGAGCUUCCUCAGGAAGCGCAUGCGCGUGAACAACAAGAAGCCCUCUCACGGCCCCAUCCACUUCCGAGCUCUUGCUAAAGAUUUUCCGGCGCACUGGCCGCGGGUACAUUUGAUUGAAUCUCCCCGCCUCUGUGGAUCUUGUAGUUCGAUUCGACUGUGGGAUUGUGAAAAUUCCUCAGUGGAUUUGGUUUUAGCUGAACAGUGGAUGGAUUGUGAUCGGAAUUCACAUAUGGUGAUUGAACGAUGAUUCUGCACAUUACCAAGCGGGGAGCAGCUGCUCUUGCCUGGCUGAAGGCUUACGAGGGUAUCCCUCUGCCUUAUGACAAGGGUGUUGAGGCUUCUGAAGGGACACAAGUACUGUCUGAUGGAAACACUAUGAUACCAUCAGAGAUGUAAAUAAAGAAACCAAAGCAGCUGAGAACUCGAAGAUGAAAGUCUCAAUUUGUAAGGUCCUACUCCUGUCAGCUCACGAGAUGUAGUCAAUCUUCCUCUGUUUUUUUGCCAAGUGCAACUUGGCAAAUGGCAAUACUAAAGCUGAUGAAACUGUCCCUGCGGAGCUUUCGUCAAUGGUUACCAAACAGGACAGAUGGGCUGCAAGAAGGGCUGCAUAAUAAUAGCAGUCCCUUAGCUGAAGAUAAGGUCCUCAAGGGGAAGAGGAAGUGGUGAGGAGAAAAUCCCUUGCAACUUCAUUUAGGUCUGUUACUGGCCGCUAUAGGACUAGUCUAGCUAGUGCCAAUGUCAAUAGAGACAUAGAUUGUUGUAAUGUUGGUCGAGAUGAAGCUGAGAUGGAAUUGCUGCAAUUUCUUGAGCCACUCUUCCCGUUAAGUAAAAGUACAGAGGAUUCAGCAAGAAAGGAAAUUCACAUGUCGACAAUGGUGAAGGGACAAAAGUUAAUGAAUUUCAGUUGCUAUAGCAGAACUGCUUAUGAUCAUCAGGAUCAGUGUGUAGAACUGCUUAUGAUCAUUAGCUUUACUAGAUGUUGCAAGUUUUGUGCGUCAAGGAAUGCUUGAUCCUUGUUUUCGAACAUCAGACAGAUCCGAAAACAGAAAUGUGACUUAUUUUGUGCUUGUCUGAUGCUUGUCGAUUUCAGCUAGGGACAUUUCUUUGGAGGUUUAUGCUUUAGAAGGAUGGAGAUUGUUAUAGCAUAGAAUGUUUGGAUUGCUAGUGACCGCAGUUGUAGAAGAAUAUGAUAAUAGAAUUGCAACAAUCUAAUCUCCAA